UACAGAGGUCUCAAGCGUUGUUCGGAUUCAUUUGGCGUAAAGCGCGCGUAGGCGGCUCGGAAAGUCGGGCGUGAAAUGCCGGGGCUCAACCCCGGGACUGCGUCCGAUACUUCCGAGCUGGAGGUAGGUAGGGGAGAUCGGAAUUCCUGGUGUAGCGGUGAAAUGCGCAGAUAUCAGGAAGAACACCAAUGGCGAAAGCAGCUCUCUGGGACGGUACUGACGCUGAGACGCGAAAGCGUGGGGAGCGAACAGG
rnacentral:rRNA from 1 species